rnacentral:rRNA from 1 species
AUGAACAAGCUCAAAUUUAACUUUUGUUGUUGGAAUGUGUGAGGCCUCGACCAGCCGAAAAAGUGUUCUGAUGUGCUUUCGGAGCUCAUCUCCAUUCACCCCCAUGCAUGUUUUCUGCAAGAAACCAAGCUCAGUGCCUUUGAUGCCUUCAAACAAAAAUCGUUUCUUCCACAUCACCUAAACCUGCUACAUACUUCACCUGCCAUUGGCUCGACAGGUGGUAUGCCCUCACCCUUCUCCUCCUCCCACUUCACUAUUCUUUCUACAAACUCAGGUGCCUACACUCAAACGUCCAUAAUCUCCUGCAUAGCCUCCCCUCAGCAUCUUGCAAUCAGAAACAUCUACGCCCCCACUGACCAUGGCCUUAAGAACCUCUUCCUCCAGGAGCUUGCUAGCUUCGCUCCCUCGCAAACCACACCUUGGCUUAUUUUAGGUGAUUUCAACCUCCUUCGCCAUGCGUCCGACAAAAACACUCCUCACUUUCAUGAAGCCAAAACUGAUAUGUUUAACGCCUUCAUUCACUCCCAUGCUCUCAUUGAUUUGCCCCUACUGGAUCAUCAUUUCACGUGGUCUGGUAAGAGAGACCAGCCCACUCUCGAAAAAAUUGAUAGAGUUUUCGUUAGUGUCGAUUGGGUUCUCCUCUUACCUAACACUAAUAUUACCUCUCUCACUCGCUUCGUCUCUGAUCACGCCCCUCACAUCGUCACGAUUGAUACUAAUAUCCCGCGUCCCGCGCUUUUCAUUUUCAAGCCAGGUGGGCCCUUAGGCCCGGUUGUCAGGGGGUUAUCGCUCAGGCUUGGGCCGAGCCCCAAAUUCGCUCGAACCACACGCUAUCUCUGGUUGCCGCCCUAA